rnacentral:rRNA from 1 species
UUAGAGUUUGAUCCUGGCUCAGGAUGAACGCUAGCGGCAGGCCUAAUACAUGCAAGUCGAACGGUAAACGUCCUUCGGGGCGUGAGAGUGGCGCACGGGUGCGUAACGCGUAUGCAACCCACCCCCUGCAGGGGUAUAGCCCGGAGAAAUCCGGAUUAAUCCCCCAUGAGGAGCGGGAGAGGCAUCUCUCCCAUUUCAAAACUACGGUGGCGGGGGACGGGCAUGCGUCCCAUUAGGUAGUAGGCGGGGCAACGGCCCACCUAGCCGAUGAUGGAUAGGGGUUCUGAGAGGAAGGUCCCCCACAUUGGAACUGCGACACGGUCCAAACUCCUACGGGAGGCAGCAGUGAGGAAUAUUGGUCAAUGGGCGAGAGCCUGAACCAGCCAAGUAGCGUGCAGGAUGACGGCCCUAUGGGUUGUAAACUGCUUUUUGUGCGGGAAUAACGUGCUCCACGUGUGGGGGCAGUGCAUGUACCCGUACGAAUAAGGAUCGGCUAACUCCGUGCCAGCAGCCGGCCGUAAUUCGGAGGGUCCCGAGCGUUAUCCGGAUUUAUUUGGGUUUAAAAGGGAGCGUAGGCGGGAAGGUCAAAGUCCGCUGUGAAAUUGUAGUCCCUCAAACGUCCUGCCCGGCAUUUGAAACCUGGCCUCCUUGAGUGCGUAAGAGGCAGGCGGAAUUCGUCGUGUAGCGGUGAAAUGCUUAGAUAUGACGAAGAACUCCGAUUGCGAAGGCAGCUUGCUGGGCCGCAACUGACGCUGAAGCUCGAAGGUGCGGGUAUCGAACAGGAUUAGAUACCCUGGUAGUCCGCACAGUAAACGAUGGAUACUCGCUGUCGGCGAUAAACGGUCGGUGGCCAAGCGAAAGCGUUAAGUAUCCCACCUGGGGAGUACGCCGGCAACGGUGAAACUCAAAGGAAUUGACGGGGGCCCGCACAAGCGGAGGAACAUGUGGUUUAAUUCGAUGAUACGCGAGGAACCUUACCCGGGCUUGAAUUGCCGGUGACGGUUGGCGGAGACGCCUUCCUUCCUUCGGGACGCCGGUGAAGGUGCUGCAUGGUUGUCGUCAGCUCGUGCCGUAAGGUGUCGGCUUAAGUGCCAUAACGAGCGCAACCCUUGCUGUCAGUUGCCAUCAGGUCAUGCUGGGCACUCUGGCGGGACUGUCAUCGUAAGAUGUGAGGAAGGUGGGGAUGACGUCAAAUCAGCACGGCCCUUAUGUCCGGGGCGACACACGUGUUACAAUGGGGGGUACAGAGGGAAGCCACCUGGCGACAGGGCGCGGAUCCCGAAAUCCCUUCUCAGUUCGGAUCGGAGUCUGGAACUCGACUCCGUGAAGCUGGAUUCGCUAGUAAUCGCGCAUCGGCCAUGGCGCGGUGAAUACGUUCCCGGGCCUUGUACACACCGCCCGUCAAG